UACGUAGGUCGCAAGCGUUGUCCGGAUUUACUGGGCGUAAAGAGCGCGCAGGCGGCUGGCCAAGUCCGAUGUGAAAUCUCCCGGCUUAACCGGGAAACUGCAUCGGAAACUGGUCGGCUUGAAGGUGGGAGAGGGUAGCGGAAUUCCCGGUGUAGUGGUGAAAUGCGUAGAUAUCGGGAGGAACACCAGUGGCGAAGGCGGCUACCUGGCCCAUUCUUGACGCUGAGGCGCGAAAGCUAGGGGAGCAAACGGG
rnacentral:rRNA from 1 species